UACGAAGGGGGCUAGCGUUGCUCGGAAUCACUGGGCGUAAAGGGUGCGUAGGCGGGUCUUUAAGUCAGAGGUGAAAUCCUGGAGCUCAACUCCAGAACUGCCUUUGAUACUGAGGAUCUUGAGUUCGGGAGAGGUGAGUGGAACUGCGAGUGUAGAGGUGAAAUUCGUAGAUAUUCGCAAGAACACCAGUGGCGAAGGCGGCUCACUGGCCCGAUACUGACGACUGAG
rnacentral:rRNA from 1 species